rnacentral:rRNA from 1 species
UGCAAGUCGUGCGAGAAAACCCCUUAGGGGGUGAGUACAGCGGCGGACGGGUGAGUAACACGUGAGCGAUCUACCCGGUGGCGGGGGACAACCCAGGGAAACCUGGACUAAUACCGCAUACAGCGGAGGGAGUAGGUGCCCUUCGUGAAAGCUGGCCUCUCCAUGGAAGCUAGCGUCGCCGGAGGAGCUCGCGGCCUAUCAGCUAGUUGGUGGGGUAAAGGCCUACCAAGGCGAUGACGGGUAGCUGACGUGAGAGCGUGACCAGCCACACUGGGACUGAGACACGGCCCAGACUCCUACGGGAGGCAGCAGUGGGGAAUAUUGCGCAAUGGGCGAAAGCCUGACGCAGCGACGCCGCGUGGGGGAGGAAGGCCCUAGGGUUGUAAACCCCUGUCAGGUGGGACGAACCCUGGGUCGACGAAUAGUUGGCUCAGCUGACGGUACCAUCAGAGGAAGCUCCGGCUAACUCCGUGCCAGCAGCCGCGGUAACACGGGGGGAGCAAGCGUUGUUCGGAAUCACUGGGCGUAAAGCGCGCGUAGGCGGCCGAGUAAGUCGUAUGUGAAAGCCCGGGGCUCAACUCCGGUAUUGCAUGCGAUACUGCCCGGCUGGAGAAAGGUAGAGGCAAGUGGAAUUCCCGGUGUAGCGGUGGAAUGCGUAGAUAUC